rnacentral:lncRNA from 1 species
GGGGGGCUGUUUUGAAAAGUUUGUGAUGAAUACGGAGGAAUAAAAUUAAAACACGAAAUUAAAUACAACCAAACAUAAUUGAAAAUACUGAAAUAGAUUAAAAAUCAUGAAGACCGAACGGUCCUAUAGAUGACCGGACGGUUCUACAUUGAACCCGAGUGAUCUUUAAAGCAAAUAAGGAAAUUGGAAAUGCUGGAAAAUAAAGAUGCCGAACAGAAAAGACAACAACAUAGUAAACGAAACCAACAAAUCA